rnacentral:misc_RNA from 1 species
GGACCAAAAGCAGCAAAAUACUUGAAAAAAGAACUCUUAUACGAGGAUUGGAUUUUUCAAGUUUAACCUUACAACCUUGAGAUAACUCUAAUACUAUUAAACUUUCCAUCGUUGAUUUACAAGAAUUGAUUGUUGCUAAGGAGAUAUAUGAAUAGAAGAAUUUCCAAAACAAUGUUCAUCUAACUCUAACUAUUCUGUGCUCUUCAUUUAUUUUUUAUAAACCCACAGAAGCCUUAACAAUAACAGCUUAAAAUUCAGACUUCUGUGGUACGGUUUUCUAAGUUAAUAUCCAAGACUCUCAAAGGAAUGGGGGGAAAAGAAAGCAACUCAACCAAUCUAUUUUGACCUUUGCUGGGU